rnacentral:rRNA from 1 species
CUACGGGGGGCUGCAGCUAGGGAUAUUUUGCAAUGCGCGAAAGCGUGACAAAUUGAACCAGAGUGCCAAUCCAUAUCGGAGCGGCUUUUGCCAGUUGUAAAAAAACUGGAGAAUAAGGACUGGGCAAGACCGGUGCCAGCCGCCGCUGGUAAUCCCGGCGGUCCGAGUCGCAACCGCAUUUAUUGGGUCUAAAACAUCCGUAGCUUGUGAAGCAAGUCUUUUGUGAAAUCCCGCGUCUCAAGCGUGGGGCAGGCAAGAGAUACUGCUUUGCUAGAGACUGGAGGACGUAGGAAGUACGACAGAGGUAGUGGUUAAAUACGUUAAUCUUUGUCGGACUAACGAUAGCGAAGGCAUCCUACGAUUACAGUUCUGACAGUGAGGGAUGAAGGCUAGGGGCGCAAAACGGAUUAGAUACCCUAGUAGUC